UAUAAAUUGAACAUCGCCCUAACGGUCACUUGCACUUCUUCCGGAAAGCUUACUACGCUCUGCGAAACCUCCUAGGGUCUCUUUCUGCCGGCAUUGAAGAUUGUAGUCGGCUAAUCUAACAGCACGUAAAAAAAGGUUAGAGGGUAGAUAAUUUACAGCAAAAGAACAUUUUGGAGUGAUCCCAGCUCUUGAAUCAGGUAAGUGUUUAGAAAGGUAACGGAGCAAGGGCCACUCCUACCUCCAGGUAAGCAGAGUAGAAAUGGCCUAUGCAGCGAUGAAACCUACCAAGCCUGGGUUGGAGGAAACCCAGGAGCAAAUUCAUAAGAUUAGGAUUACUCUCUCUUCGAAGAAUGUAAAGAAUCUUCAAAAAGUAUGCUUGGAUUUGGUCCGUGGUGCCAAGGACAAGCGACUGAGGGUUAAGGGAACCAGUAAGGAUGCCCACUAAGGUUCUUCACAUCACCACCAGAAAGUCUCCUUGUGGUGAAGGAGAUAACAAGAAUCAGGGUUGAUCGCCUGCAUUGAUCCGAUGUUGCUCUUUGGAUCAGCUACUUUGUUUUAUAUUAGGAAAAAGGGUGGGCGUGCAUACUGGAGCUAUUGGCUGAACCCUUGUAUAUCCUUUCUUGGAACUUGCUUCUACUUAAAUUGCAUUUGAUGGUUGAAACUGCGGCUACACUCUGUUGUAUGACACUGUACAUUCUUAUUGUCAAGCAAAGUUACCUGUUUUUGAGCAAUUUUGCAAAGAGCUGCCACAAAUUCCUUAGGCUACCACUGGAAGGAGAGUGAUUGCCUUUGCAUUGUCUCAAACAGCAUAUGGAUUUUGCUUGUUUGUAGGCUAUUGGAGCUACUUUCUUCUCUCUCAUGCGUUUAGAAGUUCUGAUCUUUUUCCUUUCAGACUAGGAAAGCCAGAUGGACUUUGGCAUCUUGGCGUGAUUAAGUUGGAGCUUAGUAGUGUGGAUGGUAUUUCUUCCAUUUGAGGAAAGCUCCUAAUGCUACGUUUGCCAGGUCUGCAUCAGGUUUACGUCUUUCCCUUCUUUCAAUGAUAUUACUGCUUUGUCAAAAGAGUGCAUAACCAUACUAGAUCCAUGUUCGUGUGUUCACUACUAUUUUGUUGUUGAACUAAGGAGAACUGCAAUUAAAAUUCACCAAACAGAGUUCUAUCAGUUGAGCUACAAAGACUUCUAGUCAGAGAAGAGAGGGGAGUUCAUAGUUCGUACAAACCACAACUGCCUCGGUACUCGGUAGUCCUCAAUUCAUAUUUAAUGGUCAAUUUGUUAGAGGUUAAAAAGAAACAAUUUAGUUGUUUGGUGGUUCCAUUUUCGCUUAUGCAUUUUGGUAGAUGUUCCUUAAGUUUGAAACUGUUCAGUCAUUAACAGUUCGACAUAUUUCAAAACCAUGAUCAGUUAUCUAUGCUUUGUUAGCAGUUUACCAUUUUAUAUUUGUUUCAACGGGACAGCAUGAAGACAAAAGCAGGAAGUUAGACAGAUGCCUUAUGGAGGCACUGAAGCUUGUUUUGUUUAUUGGUAUGUGCACCAAUUUUUCCCUUUGAUAGUCUUUUUAGGUGAUUUGUUUUUUUGCCGCUUUUAAUGACAUUCAUUUUUUUUUGUUGGGGAGGGGUUAUUGCCAAUGUACUGUUUAAGCUGACAACGAUCUAACUUUGAUUCUUUAUUAUCCACAUUCAAAAAAGGUAUGGUUAUGAUAAUUGUCGGGUGAAUCACUUCAGUCUCUUUUCUUGUGUUGUAUGGAUUGAAUCACCUGUCAGAUUAGGGCAGGUCUGGUUUCAAAUGCUCUUUAGUAUAUUGUCACCAAGUUUCACGGUAAGUUUUCUUCCUCUGCCUAUAUGAGGCCAUUUAUGCUGGGUUGUUAUCCGUUGGUGAAGUUUCUGACAAUUGUUUUGAUGCCUCCUUAGGUUUCCAAUUUGUGACUUUUGUGCUUCCUUGAUACGGAAAAAAUAUAAGGGUUUACAAGUAUAAUUAUGUUAAUUUGUCUCUCCUCUCUCUUCAUGUUUUUUGAUGCCUCCAUAUUCUUUUAUUGGCUGUUAGCGAAGUUUCUGAGAUCUGGCUUUUCAUGGUAUAUCUUAAUUUCUCUCUCUCUCUCCCUCUCUCUCUCACUCACUGAGUGUUUUGAUGCUUCCUUAUUCUUUAAUUAUCUGUCAGAGAAGUUUCUAACUUGUGGCUUUUUAUGCUUCCUUGAUAUGGAAAAGUAAAUGGGUUAAGGUAGUACCAAUAUAUUAAUUUGUCUCUUUUCUCUCUCCGUGUGUUUUGAUGCCUCCUUAUCCUUGCAUUAUAUGUUAGUAAGUUUCUAACAUGGCCUUUUCAUGGUAGACUAGUUUCUCCCUCCCUCCCUCCCUCCCUCCCUCUCUCUUUCUCUCUCUGUGUUUGUUCCUGAAGUUUCUAGCAUGUGGCUUUUCAUGGUUUUGUAUAUGAACUUUUUGUCACUAAAAAAUGAUCCUUGUUGUCGUUUGUGGUUUGUGAUGUGAACUUUCAUUGUCUUUGUGUAUUGCCUCAACCUAAAUUGUGGUUCUUUUCUUGGUUAACCUCUGGUAUUUUUUCUGCACUGUUGCUACUUUUCUCGGCAGAGUGGGACAUGUCAAACUACUUAUUCUUUAGUAUAACACUUAAAUGGGCUUAACUUCUAGAUAUGAUCAUUGCCCCUGAUAUUGGUACUAUCCCCUUUUUUUCUGUAGUGCUCAUUCAGAUAUGAUUGGAUAUUUUGCUAACCGAUCAACUUAAUAGUUUACGUUAGCUUCAUUUUUUUGUCCAAGCUUUUCUCAAGUUUUGUUGCUCAGAAUUUAAAUUGUUUGAUGAGGCAGAAAUCUAUUUCUUUAUGAUAUCAUUAGUCACUCAUCGCAUCAAAAGAAAACAUAUGAAGCACCAAGAUGUGACUUAUGUUGUAAACCUUGUGGGCUUUCGAUUUUGAAGUAGAACUUGUGGAUUUUUGGGCCAUUUGGCAGGUUCAAGCGGCCCAAUUGUUUAAACGGGCUGAUGAUAGACUUCGCUCGUUUUUAGUGUUUAAGGCCCGGGCCAGCUGACAGUUCGGGCCGGGUUUAAUAACACUAGACUUGAACUUACUAGCAACUUGCACUUCCGUUGAGUUGAAAACAAUGUGUGCGCAUUAUUAUUUUUUUAAUUAUU